GCUUAAUUCCACCUGUAAAUAGUAAUAUCACACUUCUAUAAACUUCAAUCUUACCCCCCAAACUUUUUUAACAUCAACACAAUUUCAACUCAGAUCAAACACUUCAUAAACCAUCUCAUUAAUCUCAACACAAAAACUUAUACUAAUAACCAAUAUUUACACCAAAAAUUAAAAUCUUCAAAUAUAUCUAAUUCACAACCAUAUACAACUUCAUCUCUAAAUCUUUAUCUCUAAAUCUUUAUGUAUAUGCCAGAUUUCCAAAAUCAACUUUAUAUAAAAUUUACAAAAUAUACCCCAAGAUAAUUAAUAAUGUAACUCUGGUUGGGUUGAUGCAGAUCUUGAUCUACUGCUUCUUGAAUUUACAACCUACGCGAGGAAAAUAAAUUCAUACGCACUAAGCAAAUUGCUUAGUGGUGCUCAACUUUUUUUUUUUAAAUAAAACAUUUAAAUCAAAAUUCAUUUAUCAACAAUAAAUCAAACAAAUGACAAUAAACUAUAUAGCAAAUAAUUUGAAAUAAUGCUAAAUCAUAUUAUUAUUUCAUAUAUAUAUAUAUAUAUUUGAAUUUCAUGAUCUUUUUUUUCAUAUAGAAAAUUUUAUUUUCUCUUAAUACAUUUAUUUAUUUUUUUUAAUUUUUUUAGCCCCUAUAAAUUUAAAUGGGACUAUUAAGUCAGAUAAGAAAGCUAUAUUGUAGAACACAAAGUGCCAAAUAAUUGUAUGACUCAAAAGAGUUUAUAACGGUAGCGGUAGAGUAUAUCAGCCGUACCUGUAGAGUACCAAUCAGUGUAACUGUAGUGCAGUACUGCAAGAUGGCAUGCCACACCCUUAAACUAACUCACAAUUCCCACCAAACUUACUAGGGCCACACUUUAAAUAAUUUAUACAUUUAAACAUUUAAACUAACUCACAAUUCCUACCAAACUUACUAGGGCCAGACUUUAAAUAAUUUAUACAUUUAAACAUGGAGACAAAAAUUUCAAUAUAGUAUAACUUUUAAUUAUUCAAACCGUAAUACUUUAUCAUAUUACAAUUCUGCUUUUAAAUAUUGUCAUAUCAUGUAAAUCUAUUAAUUCAAUUCAACUACAUAAAUUACAAAUUCAUAAUUUAAUUCUUAAUUAAUUAAUUAUUAUUAUUUUAUUAUUAUUUUUUUCCUAAUCUAAUAUAUUUUUCUAUUAAUCACGAUACACUAUAUCUCAUUUCUCUUUUUCUUUUAAUUUUUAUUUUUAUCCAACAACUUUCUUUCAAUCCUAAUUUAACUAAUUUACAAUGUUUAACGUAUAAAAAGUAGUAUUCCUUAUUUAGACUAAUAAAUUUUUUUUGUUACUGUAUUUUAGCCAAAUUACAUCCCUCCACUUGGUCCAUAACUUGAGUUUUAGUCAAAUUACAUAUUAAUUUCAAAAUUUUCUAUUUAUCAAGUUUAGCUUUUCUUCAAACUUUAAUCAUGUAAUAUAACUAAAAUAUUAUUCACUUGAUAUAGUUCUACUAAGGUAGUAAAAUUUUCAAACAAAACAUAAUUAACAAAUUAUUGAAUUUAUUCAAAUAAAGUUGAGCACAAACCUUAAACCUUCCAAAAUCUUCCAUAAACUUAAAAUUUUAUAAUAUUCAUUUCUUUUCCCUUUGGAGUUUCCACACUUCCCUUCUACUUCUUCGUGAAAAAUAAACAAACAAAUUAUAUUAAUACAAUAUUCCUCAUAAAUAUUCACAUAAAAAUGAUAAAAAACAUUUCUACAUCAAAACCCCUAACAUACUUUUAAAUUUUCCAACACUUAGUUACUAUUCACUCUCCCUCAACCUUGAAUUUCUCCUUGAUUUCUCUUCUUUUCUUCAAAUUCUACCUUGGAAAGGUGUUGGGAGAAAAUGGGUAAUUGAUUGAAGGUGGAAAUUUGAAGAAAUUUGGUGUAGAAGACAAAAGAUGGAGAAUUGGAAUUUCUUCUUGGUUCACGGGAAGAAAGAAGA
rnacentral:lncRNA from 1 species